UGCCAGCCGCCGCGGUAACACGGGGGGCGCAAGCGUUGUUCGGAAUUACUGGGCGUAAAGCGCACGUAGGCGGACUGGAAAGUUGGGGGUGAAAUCCCAGGGCUCAACCCCGGAAGUGCACUUGAAACAGCAAGACUUGAAUACGGUAGAGGAGAGAGGAAUUCCUAGUGUAGAGGUGAAAUGCAUAGAUAUGCUGUAGAACACCAAUAGCGAAGGCAGCUUACCGAGCCAAUACUGACGCUGAGUCACGAAAGCGUGGGUAGCGAACAGGAUUAGAUA
rnacentral:rRNA from 1 species